rnacentral:rRNA from 1 species
GAUGAACGCUAGCGGCAGGCUUAAUACAUGCAAGUCGUGGGGCAGCAUGAGUAGCAAUACUUGAUGGCGACCGGCAAACGGGUGAGGAACACGUACACAACCUUCCUUCAAGCGGGGAAUAGCCCAGAGAAAUUUGGAUUAAUACCCCAUAAUAUAUUUGAUAAGGCAUCUUAUUAAAUAUUAAAGCUUCGGCACUUGAUGAUGGGUGUGCGGCUGAUUAGAUAGUUGGCGGGUAACGGCCCACCAAGUCUACGAUCAGUAGCUGAUGUGAGAGCAUGAUCAGCCACACGGGCACUGAGACACGGGCCCGACUCCUACGGGAGGCAGCAGUAAGGAAUAUUGGACAAUGGACGAAAGUCUGAUCCAGCCAUGCCGCGUGAAGGAUUAAGGUCCUCUGGAUUGUAACUUCUUUUAUAUGGGACGAAAAAGGGCAUUCUUGUUCACUCGACGGUACCAUAUGAAUAAGACACCGGCUAACUCCGUGCCAG